UUGGAUAAGAUAUUUGGAGGGUCUUUGGGAUAGAGUGAAUAUUUGUGACCAAAACGGCAGAGGGUGGGCAUUAUCUGUAAAUAUCCACUCUCUCCCCUUUUUGUGCAUCUCCAUGGGGCAAGUAUACCUCCCUGCCCUUGACUUCGGGCUUCAUUGUUUUACCUAUUUUGGCAAAUAAGAUAUUAACGGAUGUGACAUGAGCAAGGGCUUGAUAUGUGCUUGUGCUAUUGAGCUUGUUGUCUUGCAUUUUUGUCAUUGCCAUGAGAAAAACAUGACAUGGGCCCAGGAGAAAGAGAGAUAUGUAGAGCUGCCCUGGAUGACCUGUAGACCUGUAGCCUGAAGUGAAGCCACCUCAAAUGACCCUCAAAUAUAUGUUCCUACUAUGUUCCUGGUAAACCAACGAGACACGGCUUCAGCCUUCCUGGAGACAGACAUUCAGUAAGUUGGAUGUCCUCCUUCUCCCCCUGCUCUGGCUGCAAACAACCCGGAGCCACUCUGUCUGCCACGCUGUGCUCUGUUUAAAGGAACAGACACCCAUUUCUCACAGAAGAACCAUUAGGUAAACAAUAAUAUAUUUUUUUAAGCCCAGAAAGUGGCUCAACAUACUCAGUGUGGAGUGGAUGUCUCUUGCAUUCCCUAGCUAGUUUCAGGACAAAGGUCUCCAGAGAAAGGAUGCUUCUUUUCUUUUCUUUAAAAGAGUAAAAGAGGACAACAGGAAACCUUGGCUAAGAGGGGCUGGGAGGCCUGAGGCCAGCAGACAGGAGACUUGUCUUGGUCUAAAGAGCCCCAGGAGGCUGCUGCUGGCCACCCCUGGCCAGAGUGGGCAGGAGAAGAUGGCUUUCACUCUGAUAUACCCUGUCCCCCAAAUGCACCUUCUGUUUGCUGAGUACUCUACCACUGUGCAAAGGCCCCCCCAUGAUGUGACCUCACUGUACCCUCCUAAUGACACCCAGAGUUAAGCAUGAUUACCCCCACUUUACAUGAGGAAACUGAGGCCUAGAGGAUGAAGGAACUUUUCCAAGGUCACACAGAUUUAAGCUCAUGUCAGGACUCAAAGCCAAGACUCCAAAGUUCAUUACCAAACCACGUUCAACAUUGACUUCCUGGAUCCCAGCUUUUUGAAGAAAUUGAUCUCACCCUAUAGUCUUGCAAGAGAAGAAAGGACCCUUUUUCUAUAUCUGGGGGCAGGAUCUGGAGGAAUGAGCUGCUCCGGGUAAUCGGUGGGGUCAGGAAUAGGGCUGAGGUCGCCAGGGUCCUGAAUUAAAUAUGCAAUGCUGGUAGAUUCAAUAAAAGAAAAAUCCAAAAAACAAGAUGCAGUCAGCACCUUCAUCUCCUUGCGUGGGUGCUCCACUCUGAGACUCUAGUGAAUGCGUCCCUCCCGCCACGCUCCGUCUUUUAGCACCAUCUCCACAGCUGCCAUCCAUGGAGGCCGAUGGCUGCGCACUCAUGUUCCCAUCUGUCUGUAACAACAGAGACAUAAUUACCAGAAAAAUAAAGCCGCAGAAUGUGUUUCUGAAACCCAGUAAAAGACAAUGUUUUGGGCUUCUUCAAAAUAUAGUGACUAUCCCCUGAUGGGGAUAAAUCCACUGGGAGAAGCGGUGUGGGGGGAAGGGUAGAAUGCCUCUGCCUUUUGGUGAAGGCAGACCUGGAUUUGAGACCAGUGGGUCCAUGAGAAACCCCUUCCUGCUUAUGGUCCUUGUUUCUUCAUCGGUCACACCUGGUUGACGUGGGGAAGGAAGGAGAGGUUGUGCUGGUUUCUCUAUGCUCUGUCUUCUUUUAAUCUCACGGCAACCCACGGAGGGGCAGCAUUAUUAUUAUUUUUUUUUUUUCAUUUUCUACAUUCUUUUUUUAUUUUUAAUUUAUUGGGGUGACAAUUGUUAGUAAAAUUACAUAGACUUCAGGUGUACAAUU